UCUUAAUAUAUUUUGUAAUAAAAGAAGAAUAUAUUAUUAGAAGGCUAAGAAGUAAAGUAGAAGGGAGACGGAUCCAAGAUUUGUUUCCCAAGGAGUAAAAAAUUACAUAUAUAGAAGCUUUUAAGCCACAUUGAGAACAGGUUGGUGGGUUAGUUAAAGGUAUGUAAGCGACACUGGCGCAAAGACACACUGUUGUUUAAGCUAACAUAAUUUGUUUUUUUUUUUGAAAUUUAUUGCCCAAGUUAAAUAGCAGAUCACACUUUACAUUUUAAUCUUGUUUUUAGAAAUCAAUGGAUCAACAACAUUUACUAACAUCCAGUUUUCGUUGAACCUGGAAAAUAAGAGGGUCAAAGACUCAAGUUCUAUAAAUAUAUACUUUCUUUGGAAUUUUUAGAAAAUCGUCAUAAUUGUAUGUUGGGUUUCCGUUGUUUCAAAAAGUCUAGGUGGGCAAUUUCCCGCCUGACGAAGUUGUUGCUUCAUCCCUGCGCCAAAGGGUUUUGUAACACGUGUUCCCAUGAAACUGACGUCCUCUAUGAAUAAAUCUAGAAGUUAGCUCUAGAAUCAUUUUGACCCAUGCGUCAAAAGUGAGAUGAAUUAUAGUUGGUUUUACCCAAGGUUUUGUUCUUCCAUUGCAUUCAUGGCCUAAUGACUUGUGAAAUGGAUCAAAUUCUGGAGGAAUAUACGAGUCACCACCAUUUUGCUCAGGCUUAAUAAUUGUAGUGUAUAAUAAUCGUGCUAGAUGCUGUAUAGGGGCCAUUUUGUUGUAGUAUGCUGAUGCCUCUCUAUUUUGUUAUGGCAUUAUAAAGGGCAGUCAUGCUAUGUAUAACAUUAAUUUGGACUGGGAUAUGAAUAGAUAUUGAACUAUAUUGUUAUGUUCUUGGCUGCGCACCCAUAUUUAAGUCAUAUGUUUGCGUUGUUUAUCUUUUUCUUCCUAUAAUUUUACUUCUGUGAGGAAUCUGAUAGGCAUUUUCAAUAUGAUACCAGUGUACUAGGACGCGCUUGGAGCCUUGAACUAAUUGGUCUAUUUCUUUGGGCGUGUGACCAAUUCAGGAUAGGCACAGCAGGUUGCGGCCCAUGAAAGUUUUCCUUAAAGCAGGCUCUCCCUCUUUCCUGAAUUAAAAGCUACAAUGUGAAUGCUCAUUCUGUAUUUGAAAUUAUGAAGUGAGAUGAUUCGCUCCUAGAAACAAUGGUGAAGAAAAACAAGGCUGAUUGCGGGGUGGCUGUGCUCAACGAGAAGCAGCAAGUGGAGAUGGUUUCAGCUGGUCUCUGGCCAUGCCAAGCUAAACUAUAUAUUCAUGGCUUAUUAUGUUAGAAAAUCUUGCCAUAUAUUGGUUGAUGGUUGAAAUGCAUACUUUAAAAUGCUCAAUUUUUCUGGCUGAUGAUAUCUGGAGAUCUGGUCCGAAGCAGAUGGCAUUUAGGAUCUUGAUAGUUUAAUCAGUACAUUAGUUUGUAAUGGUUGGACUACCCAGAAGAGGGUUACGAUGAUGCCCAAAACGAUUAAUUGAAAUAGAGAUGCAUUUUCCCUUUUGUUUAUCCAUGCAAGUAUCAAACAACGAUGCAUUACAAAAAUAUGCUUUACGAAAUGUAGUAAACGUAUAUCCUUAUAAAAUUUUAAAUUGAUAUGAUGAGUUCAUUUUAAUUUUCAAAGAAAAGUGCUCAGGUGGGAGGGUGAUUGGGUGAUCUCUCCACCUGUGUGUCAGUACUAUAUUGGGCAUGAAAUGAAUUUCAAAUUUUUUUUCCCCUUCCC
rnacentral:lncRNA from 1 species